GCCUGGCGGGUCAGUCGGUAGAGCACCAGACUCUGCCAUCUCAGGGCCGUGAGUUUGAGCCUCACCGUUGGGCA